rnacentral:rRNA from 1 species
AGAGUUUGAUCCUGGCUCAGGAUGAACGCUAGCUACAGGCUUACACAUGCAAGUCAGGGAACGACAUCGAAAGCUUGCUUUGAUGGGCGUCGACCGGCGCACGGGUGAGUAACGCGUAUCCAACCUGCCCACCACUUGGGGAUAACCUUGCGAAAGUAAGACUAAUACCCAAUGAUAUCUCUAGAAGACAUCUGAAAGAGAUUAAAGAUUUAUACGGUGAUGGAUGGGGAGUGCGUCUGAUUAGCUUGUUGGCGGGGUAACGGCCCACCAAGGCAACGAUCAGUAGGGGUUCUGAGAGGAAGGUCCCCCACAUUGGAACUGAGACACGGUCCAAACUCCUACGGGAGGCAGCA